UCGAGGGGCAGCAUAUGGAUAGCAAUAUCUAUGUGGCGACCGGCGCACGGGUGCGUAACGCGUAUGCACCUACCUUUAACAGGGGGAUAACACUGAGAAAUUGGUACUAAUACCCCAUAAUAAGGCAUCUUGAAAAUUCCGAUGGUUAGAGAUGGGCAUGCGUUGUAUUAGCUAGUUGGUGGGGUAACGGCUCACCAAGGCGACGAUACAUAGGGGGACUGAGAGGUUAACCCCCACACUGGUACUGAGACACGGACCAGACUCCUACGGGAGGCAGCAGUGAGGAAUAUUGGUCAAUGGACGCAAGUCUGAACCAGCCAUGCCGCGUGCAGGAUGACGGCUUAUGAGUUGUAAACUGCUUUUGUACGAGGGUAACGCAGAUACGUGUAUCUGUCUGAAAGUAUCGUACGAAUAAGGAUCGGCUAACUCCGUGCCAGCAGCCGCGGUAAUACGGAGGAUUCAAGCGUUAUCCGGAUUUAUUGGGUUUAAAGGGUGCGUAGGCGGUUUGAUAAGUUAGAGGUGAAAUUUCGGGGCUCAACCCUGAACGUGCCUCUAAUACUGUUGAGCUAGAGAGUAGUUGCGGUAGGCGGAAUGUAUGGUGUAGCGGUGAAAUGCUUAGAGAUCAUACAGAACACCGAUUGCGAAGGCAGCUUACCAAACUAUAUCUGACGUUGAGGCACGAAAGCGUGAGGAGCAAACAGGAUUAGAUACCCUGGUAGUCCACGCAGUAAACGAUGAUAACUCGUUGUCGG
rnacentral:rRNA from 1 species